rnacentral:misc_RNA from 1 species
UCCGGUUUAACACCGGCGGUCUCCUUAGAGUGCCCAACUAAAUGGUGGCAACUAGGGAUAAGGGUUGCGCUCGUUAAGGGACUUAACCCGACAUCUCACGAUACGAGCUGACGACAGCCAUGCAGCACCUGAACCGUAGGUCCCCGAAGGGAAAGUCCUAUCUCUAGGAUUGUCCUACGUUGUCUAACCCAGGUAAGGUUCUUCGCGUUGCAUCGAAUUAAACCACAUGCUCCACCGCUUGUGCGGGCCCCCGUCAAUUCCUUUGAGUUUUAAUCUUGCGACCGUACUUCCCAGGCGGGGUACUUAAUGCGUUAGCUGCGGCACUGCAGGGGUCAAUUCCUGCAACACCUAGUACCCAUCGUUUACGGCGUGGACUAC